rnacentral:rRNA from 1 species
CAGUAGCCGCGGUAAUACGAAGGGGGCUAGCGUUGCUCGGAAUUACUGGGCGUAAAGGGAGCGUAGGCGGACAUUUAAGUCAGGGGUGAAAUCCCAGAGCUCAACUCUGGAACUGCCUUUGAUACUGGGUGUCUUGAGUGUGAUAGAGGUAUGUGGAACUCCGAGUGUAGAGGUGAAAUUCGUAGAUAUUCGGAAGAACACCAGUGGCGAAGGCGACAUACUGGAUCAUUACUGACGCUGAGGCUCGAAAGCGUGGGGAGCAAACAGGAUUAGAUACCCGUGUAGUCCCUGUCUCUUAUAA